rnacentral:rRNA from 1 species
UACAGAGGCCCCAAGCGUUACUGAGAAUCACUGGGUUUAAAGGGUGCGUAGGUGGUCCGUUAAGUUCGUUGUGAAAUCCCUGGGCUCAACCCAGGAAAUGCUUCGAAUACUGGCGGACUUGAGGCUAGUAGAGGUCACUGGAACUGACGGUGGAGCGGUGAAAUGCGUAGAUAUCGUCAGGAACGCCGAUGGUGAAGACAGGUGACUGGGCUAGUUCUGACACUGAGGCACGAAAGCGUGGGGAGCGAACAGG